rnacentral:rRNA from 1 species
UGGCGAACGGGUGAGUAACACGUGGGCAACCUGCCCAAAAGAGGGGGAUAACACUUGGAAACAGGUACUAAUACCGCAUAACCAUAGUUACCGCAUGGUAACUAUGUAAAAGGUGGCUAUGCUACCGCUUUUGGAUGGGCCCGCGGCGCAUUAGCUAGUUGGUGGGGUAAAGGCUUACCAAGGCAAUGAUGCGUAGCCGAACUGAGAGGUUGAUCGGCCACAUUGGGACUGAGACACGGCCCAAACUCCUACGGAAGGCAGCAG